UUUAAAAGUUUUAUUCUUGCUUAAAUAUUUACUUUUUCUUUGGGUUAUAUGUAAGUUUUGUUAAACUAAAUGUUCUAUUUGCAGUAAUUUUAUUUAAUUAAUCAAGUGAUUUUGGAUUUAGCAAUUGAUUUAGUAUUGGCAUAAUUCGUGCCAGCAGCCGCGGUUAUACGAUUAAUACAAGUAAAUAUUAUUGGUUAAUACAGUUAAUUAUAUUUUGAGAUAAAUUUAAUAUUUUGAUGGUGAAAUUUAAAAUUUUUUUAUAUUUCUUUUUAUGAUUCUGUGAAACUUAAAUAAUAAACUAGGAUUAGAUACCCUAUUAUUUUAAGUGUUAAUUAUACUUACCAGGGUAUUAAUAGUUAAGAUCUUUAAACCCAAAGAAUUUGGCGGUAUCUUAUUCCAUUCAGAGGAACCUAUCCCGUAAUUGAUAAUACACGAUUAACUUUACUUAAUUUAUUUGUUUGUAUAUCUCCGUUAUCAGAAAAUCUUUUUAGAGUUAUAAUUUUCUUAAUUUAUAAUUAUAAAAUAUUUCAGGUCAAGGUGCAGCUUAUAAUUAAGAGGAGAUGGGUUACAAUAUGUUUUUAUUUAUAACGGAUUUGAUAGUGAAAUACUAUUAAUGAAGGUGGAUUUGAUAGUAAUUUGACAUAUUUAAUUUAAUUGAUAUUGGCUCUGAGGUGUGUACACAUCGCCCGUCGCUCUCACUAUAAAUAUUUACUAAUUGUUUAUAAGGUAAAGUUUAAGUUAGGUGAGAUAAGUCGUAACAUAGUAGAUGUACUGGAAAGUGUAUCUAGAAAGAUU
rnacentral:ncRNA from 2 species